CCCCUCUCAGGAUCGCACCUGGAGAGUUUCCAGUCCUCUACCCGCCUCGGCUACGGGAGGGAGAGUCAAGCAGAGGCCUGUCCAUUCCAUUCCUAGCUUGACCAGUGGCUAGCGAGCGGAAGUCCAUCAGCUACAAGU